GAUGAACGCUGGCGGCGUGCUUAACACAUGCAAGUCGAACGGAAAGACGCCUUUGUUGCUCCUCUAGUGGCGAACGGGGAAGUAACACUUAAAUAACCUGCCCUUAACUUUGGGACAACUUUAAGAUACUGAGGCUAAUGCCAGUACGGGAUCAUUUCUGCAACGUGGUGGUUGGAAAGCUUAAGCCGUUUUGGCUGUCAUUUCGAGAUGGCUGCGUGCUGGAUUGGCUAGUUGGUACGGUAACGGCUUACGAUGGCAGCACUGAGUAGCCGACCGGAGAGAGUGAUCGGCCACACUGAGACUGAGCCACGGUCCAGAGACCUACGGGAGGCCGCAGCGGGGAAUCGUGGGAGAUGGGCGGAAUACUGCACAAGGAGCGCAGCGUGGAUGAAGAAGGGCUUCGGGCGGGAUAACGCUCUUCUGGGGGAAGAACGCUUUCAGAAGGAACGAAGCAGGUGGUGACGGUACCUGAAGAAGAAGCAACGGCUAACUACGUG
rnacentral:rRNA from 1 species